UAGGGAAUCUUCGGCAAUGGACGAAAGUCUGACCGAGCAACGCCGCGUGAGUGAAGAAGGUUUUCGGAUCGUAAAACUCUGUUGUUAGAGAAGAACAAGGACGUUAGUAACUGAACGUCCCCUGACGGUAUCUAACCAGAAAGCCACGGCUAACUACGUGCCAGCAGCCGCGGUAAUACGUAGGUGGCAAGCGUUGUCCGGAUUUAUUGGGCUUAAAGCGAGCGCAGGCGGUUUCUUCAGUCUGAUGUGAAAGCCCCCGGCUCAACCGGGGAGGGUCAUUGGAAACUGGGGGACUUGAGUGCAGAAGAGGAUAGUGGAAUUCCGUUUGUAGCGGUGAAAAGCGUAGAUAUAUGGAGGAACACCAGUGGCGAAGGCGGCUCUCUGGUCUGUAACUGACGCUGAGGCUCGAAAGCGUUGGGAGCAAUCAGG
rnacentral:rRNA from 1 species